rnacentral:rRNA from 1 species
GAUGAACGCUGGCGGCGUGCCUAAUACAUGCAAGUCGAGCGGACGGACGAGAAGCUUGCUGCUCUGACGUUAGCGGCGGACGGGAGUGUAACGCGUGGAUCCCCUACCUAUCAGACUGAGAUAACUUCGGGAAUCCGGCGCUAAUACCGGAUAAUCUUUUGAUCCGCAUGGUUCAAAAGUGAGAGACGGUCUUGGUGUAACUUCUCGAUGGAUCCGCGCUGCAUUAGCUAGUUGGUACGGUAACGGCUUACCAAGGGAACGAUGCAUAGCCGACGUGAGAGGGUGGUCGCCCACACUGGAGCGUAGCCACGCUCCAGGGGCCUACGGUAGGCAGCAGUCGGCAAUCUUCGGCAAUGGGCGAGAGCAUUACAGAGCAGCGCCGCGCGAGAGACGAAGACGUUCGGAUCGUAAAGCUCUGUUAUGAGUGAAGAACAGAUUUGUAAUGAGCUGUGCACAUAGUGACGGUACCUGAUCAGAAAGCCCCGGCUAACUACGUG